UACGUAGGGUGCGAGCGUUAAUCGGAAUUACUGGGCGUAAAGCGUGCGCAGGCGGUUCGUUAAGUUCGUUGUGAAAGCCCCGGGCUCAACCUGGGAACUGCAAUGGAAACUGGCGGGCUUGAGUGUGGCAGAGGGGGGUGGAAUUCCGCGUGUAGCAGUGAAAUGCGUAGAUAUCUGGAGGAAUACCGGUGGCGAAGGCGGCAUCCUGGACCGGCAUUGACGCUGAGGAGCGAAAGCCAGGGGAGCAAACGGG
rnacentral:rRNA from 1 species